rnacentral:rRNA from 1 species
CCUACGGGAGGCAGCAGUAGGGAAUUUUCGGCAAUGGGGGGAACCCUGACCGAGCAACGCCGCGUGAAGGAAGAAGGAAUUCGUUCUGUAAACUUCUGUUAUAAUGGAGAAAGACGGAUGGAGGAAAUGACAUCCGAGUGUCGGUACUUUAUGAGAAAGCCACGGCUAACUACGUGCCAGCAGCCGCGGUAAUACGUAGGUGACAAGCGUUAUCGGGAUUUAUUGGGCGUAAAGAGGGAGCAGGGGGCAGCAAAGGUCUGUGGUGAAAGACUGGAGCUUAACUUAAGUAAGCAAUUGAUACCGGGCAGCUAGAGUGCAGGAGAGGAUCGUGGAAGUCGAUGUGUAGCGGUGAAAUGCGUAGAUAUAUGGAGGAACACCAGUGGCGAAGGCGGCGAUCUGGCCUGCAACUGACGCUCAGUCCCGAAAGCGUGGGGAGCAAAUAGGAUUAGAUACCCUAGUAGUC